CACGUAGGGUGCGGGCGUUGUCCGGAAUUAUUGGGCGUAAAGAGCUCGUAGGCGGUGUGUCGCGUCGGCCGUGAAAACCUGCAGCUUAACUGUGGGCUUGCGGUCGAUACGGGCAUCACUGGAGUUCGGCAGGGGAGACUGGAAUUCCUGGUGUAGCGGCGAAAUGCGCAGAUAUCAGGAGGAACACCGGUGGCGAAGGCGGGUCUCUGGGCCGAUACUGACGCUGAGGAGCGAAAGCGUGGGGAGCGAACAGG
rnacentral:rRNA from 1 species